AGAAGGGCAAUCAGUAGGUGGAGGCAUGGGUGAUGAGCCGAUGUCGAAACCUACUGGUAGGAAAGUCCGGCCUCACAUACAGGGGGAGAACCGAUUAAGCUCUUGGAGCGUAGUCGGAAUGCGAGUGCAUUGGAAAGUGCCACAGAAAAUAAACCGCUUUGCAGGUUUUAACCUGCAAAGUAAGGGUGAAAAUGUGUGGUAAGAGCACACAAAGAGCUUGGGCAACCAAGUUCUUCGGCAAACCCUUCUCCGAGCAAGAUCAAGUAAAGGGGGAGUGGGAGUUUUAACUCCCCGGGGAUUCCCUGUAUUCCCUUUUCCCCCUGGGUAGAUCGCUCAGAUGAAUGCCCUUCGGAUACAGAAGCCGGCUUAUUUCU
rnacentral:RNase_P_RNA from 1 species